rnacentral:lncRNA from 1 species
GUGUGGGCACCCGGGGCUGGGGACAGGGCAGGGCUGGGACAGCGGGAUGGGACAGCAGGGCUGUGGAUGCAGCGUCCAUCCUGUGUCCAUCCCUGUGUCCAUCCCUCUGUCCAUCCUGUGUCCAUCCCUCUGUCCAUCCCUGUCCAUCCCUGUGUCCAUCCUGUGUCCAUCCCUCUGUCCAUCCCUGUGUCCCUCCCUGUCCCCCCCAUGUCCCUCCCUGUCCAUCCCUGUGUCCAUCCUCUGUCCAUCCCUGUGUCCAUCCCUGUCCAUCCUCUGUCCAUCCCUGUGUCCAUCCCUCUGUCCAUCCUGUGUCCAUCCCUGUGUCCAUCCCUGUGUCCAUCCCUGUCCAUCCCUGUGUCCAUCCUGUGUCCAUCCCUCUGUCCAUCCGUGUGUCCAUCCCAGUCCAUCCUCUGUCCAUCCCUGUCCCUCCCUGUCCAUCCCAUCCAUCCUGUGUCCAUCCCUCUGUCCAUCCCUGUCCAUCCCUGUGUCCCUCCCUGUCCCCCCCAUGUCCCUCCCUGUCCAUCCCUGUGUCCAUCCCUCUGUCCAUCCUCUGUCCAUCCCUGUGUCCAUCCUGUGUCCAUCCUGUGUCCAUCCCUCUGUCCCUCCCUGUCCCCCCCAUGUCCCUCCCUGUCCAUCCCUCUGUCCCUCUCUGUCCCUCCCUGUCCAUCCCAUCCAUCCCUGUCCAUCCAGUGUCCAUCCCUCUGUCCCUGUGUCCAUCCUGUGUCCAUCCCUGUGUCCCUCAUGUGUCCAUCCCUCUGUCCCUCCCUGUCCAUCCCUGUGUCCAUCCCUCUGUCCCUCUGUCCAUUCCUCUGUCCAUCCCUGUGUCCAUCCUGUGUCCCUCUGUCCCUCCCUGUCCCCCCCUAUGUCCCUCCUGUGUCCAUCCCUCUGUCCCUCUCUCUGUCCCUCCAUGUCCAUCCCUCUGUCCCCCCCAUGUCCCUCCCUGUCCAUCCCUCUGUCCAUCCCUCUGUCCCUCCCUCUGUCCAUCCCUGUCCCCCCCCCCAUGUCCAUCCCUGUCCAUCCCUCUGUCCGUCCCUGUCCCCUCCCCGCAGUGCCCAGAAGUGCCUGAUCCAGCCCAGCCCCCGCUGCCGCAGAAUUUGGGGCUGGGGGUUCCCAAAUCCCCCC